rnacentral:rRNA from 1 species
AACGGGUUAAUAUUCCCGUACUAGUUAUUACUGUGAUGGGGUGACGGAGCAUUGAAAGUGUCGCCGGCUGACGGAAUAGCCGGUUGAAGGUUGUAGCUAAAGAUUAGAUAGUAAAAUGCGUUUAAUCUGGCAAAGACUGAUAGUACUUAGAAGCUUCGGCGGAUAAGAUAGUACACCUAAAAACCUCCAAGAAAAACCUCUAAACUUCAGGUAAUAAGUACCCGUACCGUAAACCGACACAGGUAGUUGGGAUGAGAAUUCUAAGGUGCUCGAGAGAUUCAUGGCUAAGGAAUUAGGCAAAAUAGACCUGUAACUUCGGGAAAAAGGUCGCCAGCAGCAAUGUUGGCCGCAGAGAAAUGAUCCAGGCGACUGUUUAUCAAAAACACAGGGCUCUGCCAAAUCGUAAGAUGAAGUAUAGGGCCUGACACCUGCCCGGUGCUGGAAGGUUAAGAGGAGAUGUUAUGGGCAACCAGAAGCAUUGAAUUGAAGCCCCAGUAAACGGCGGCCGUAACAAUAACGGUCCUAAGGUAGCGAAAUUCCUUGUCGGGUAAGUUCCGACCUGCACGAAUGGUGUAACGAUCUGGAUACUGUCUCAGCCAUGAGCUCGGUGAAAUUGUAGUAUCGGUGAAGAUGCCGAUUACCCGCAGUGGGACGAAAAGACCCUGUGCACCUUUACUAUAGCUUAGUAUUGACUUUGGAUAAGUGAUGUGUAGGAUAGGUGGGAGACUAUGAAUUGGCGUCGCAAGGUGUCGAGGAGUCAUUGUUGAAAUACCACCCUUUACUUAUCUGAAGCCUAACUCCUGAAUAAAGGAGGACAUUGCUUGGUGGGUAGUUUGACUGGGGUGGUCGCCUCCAAAAGAGUAACGGAGGCUUCUAAAGGUUCCCUCAGCACGCUUGGUAACCGUGCGUAGAGUGCAAUGGCAAAAGGGGGCUUGACUGAGAGACAUACAGGUCGAUCAGGUACGAAAGUAGAGCAUAGUGAUCCGGUGGUUCCGUAUGGAAGGGCCAUCGCUCAAAGGAUAAAAGGUACGCCGGGGAUAACAGGCUGAUCUCCCCCAAGAGCUCAUAUCGACGGGGGGGUUUGGCACCUCGAUGUCGGCUCGUCACAUCCUGGGGCUGGAGAAGGUCCCAAGGGUUGGGCUGUUCGCCCAUUAAAGUGGCACGCGAGCUGGGUUCAGAACGUCGUGAGACAGUUCGGUCUCUAUCUACUGCGGGCGCAAGAAAUUUGAGUGGAUCUGACUCUAGUACGAGAGGACCGAGUUGGACUGACCUCUAGUGUAUCUGUUGUCUCGCCAGGGGCAUUGCAGAGUAGCUACGUCGGGCAGGGAUAAGCGCUGAAAGCAUAUAAGCGCGAAACCCACCACAAGAUGAGAUUUCUUUAAAGGGUCGUGGAAGAUGACCACGUUGAUAGGCUAUAGGUGUAAAGGCAGUAA